UCCUGACCUUCAGCGUGCCUGCUCCUCAGCCAUGGUGCCCUCCAGGAAGUUCUUCGUUGGAGGGAACUGGAAGAUGAACGGGAGGAAGAACAAUCUGGGGGAACUCAUCAACACUCUGAAUGCGGCCAAGGUGCCGGCCAACACCGCGGUGGUUUGCGCACCCCUCACCACCUACAGUGACUUCGCCCAGCAGAAGCUGGAUCCCAAGACUGCUGUGGCUGCACAGAACUGUUACAAAGUGGUCAAUGGGGCCUUUACGGGGGAGAUCAGCCCUGGCAUGAUCAAAGAUCUUGGAGCCACGUGGGUAGUCCUGGGGCACUCCGAGAGAAGGCAUGUCUUUGGGGAGUCAGAUGAGCUGAUUGGGCAGAAAGUAGCCCCUGGCAGAGGGACUUGGAGUGACUGCCUGCACUGGGGAGAAGUUAGAUGAGAGGGAAGCUGGCAUCACUGAGAAGGUCAUUUUCGAGCAAACCAAGGUCAUCACAGAUAACGCGAAGGAUUGGAGCAAGGUUGUCUUGGCCUAUGAGCCUGUGUGGGCCUUGGUACUGGCAAGAUGGCAACACCCCAACAGGCCCAGGAAGUACACGAAAAGCUCCGGGGAUGGCUUAAGUCCAACGUCUCUGAUGCAGUGGCUCAGAGUGCCCACAUCACUUAUGGGGGUUCUGGGACGGGGGCAACCUGCAAGGAGCUGGCAAGCCAGCCUGAUGUGGAUGGCUUCCUUGUGGGCGGUGCUUCCCUCAAGCCUGAGUUCCUCGACAUCAUCAAUGCCAAACAAUAAACCCUGUCCAUCUCCGCUACCCUUCCUGCC